rnacentral:tRNA from 1 species
GUUUAUGUAGUUGAAUAACAACAGUGGUUUUUCGUAUCACAAGUUCUGGUUAAAGUCCAGGUGUAAACU